UACGUAGGGGCCGAGCGUUGUCCGGAGUUAUUGGGCGUAAAGAGUACGUAGGCGGUUUGGUAAGUCUGAUAUUAAAGACCGGAGCUCAACUUCGGGACUGUAUCGGAAACUGUCAGACUAGAGGACAAUAGAGGAAGUCGGAAUUCUCAGUGUAGCGGUGAAAUGCGUAGAUAUUGGGAAGAACACCAGUGGCGAAAGCGGACUUCUGGGUUGUUACUGACGCUGAGGUACGAAAGCGUGGGGAGCAAACGGG
rnacentral:rRNA from 1 species